GAUGAACGCUAGCGGCAGGCUUAAUACAUGCAAGUCGUGGGGCAGCAGGUCUGUAGCAAUACAGAUGCUGGCGACCGGCAAACGGGUGCGGAACACGUACACAACUUUCCUUUAAGUGGGGAAUAGCCCAGAGAAAUUUGGAUUAAUACCCCGUAACAUAGUGAAAAGGCAUCUUUUUAUUAUUAUAGCAGCAAUGCGCUUAAUGAUGGGUGUGCGUCUGAUUAGGUAGUUGGCGGAGUAAUAGCCCACCAAGCCUACGAUCAGUAACUGGUGUGAGAGCACGACCAGUCACACGGGCACUGAGACACGGGCCCGACUCCUACGGGAGGCAGGAGUAAGGAAUAUUGGGCAAUGGACGCAAGUCUGACCCAGCCAUGCCGCGUGGAGGAUGAAGGUCCUCUGGAUUGUAAACUUCUUUUAUCUGGGAAGAAAUCCAUCUUUUCUUGGGUGGUUGACGGUACCAGAUGAAUAAGCACCGGCUAACUCCGUGCCAGCAGCCGCCGUAAAAC
rnacentral:rRNA from 1 species